AUUUUCCACCAGCUUUUAACAACCCACCUCCUUUUCCCCUUCCCUCCCACACAAUAACUGGGAUGACUUGUCUAGAUCUUAGGCAACAAUUCUCUUAGCACAUCAGCUCCUGGAAACAAAUGCACUUAACCAGAAAAAUAGGGACAUCAACCAGCAAAGAUGCAUCCUCAUUUAAUAGAGCUUGAAAUUACUAUAAUCUGUAAAGUACAGCGAGAAGAAGAAGUUUCACCUGCCUGCACAUCUGUCGUUGACUCUCCAUCUGACUUGGAGGGACUCUGAGGGACCAACCUGAGCCUGAGAAGAGGCAAGAUUCCCCUUCAAGGACACACUGGGAACUUACGGACCUCUUUCUCCAUGGUGCAGAGCGCACAGGCUACCUGAGAAUAUCCAGAGACUACAGAGGUCAUCAAGCUGACGCAUCAAUGUUUACAUGUGAACGAACAGACUCAUAAUAGUUCUUGAGCUUGCCAUUGGGAAGUGAAAAUCGACUGCUUGAAUAAAUGUAAGGACUCAGGUAGACAUCACCUCGUGACUCAACAGCAGCCAAUAAGAUGGAAAUAAAGGCCAUGAAGUUAUCGGAUGGCAUCUACAAGGAAUACUUAGAUGAGGAGGUGACUCUGGUAGCAAUUGUUCUUUUGUCUUUCUCACCUUCCUUCUUGUCCUGUCUGGGAUGCUGAAGUGAUGGCUGGUAUACAGAUUCUCUGUUGUGAUGUUGAGAUAAACAUGAGAAUAAAAGUCAGCAAUUACAGAUGGCAGAGAAGAGAGAGAAAGAUAGGAUGUAGGUGGAUAUUGAUGGAACUAAGUUUCUAUUGCACAAGUUCUACCACUAACCUCUGGACUUCAUGAUAUGUGAGGGAGAAAUAAACUCCUAUUUUAGAAGAGAUCUAUGUUACCUGCAACUGAACGGAAUGCUUAAUUGGCACAUCCUAUGUGCUCCAAACCUUCCUUAAUUUCUGUGUGUAAGGCAUACUUAGUCUUUACCCAUUAUUCUGUUCACAUUCAUUCACUCGAUCAGCCUCCCAACUCUACAGUAAAGAGUUUACUAUAGUUUACUCUAUUAGUAAGGGAGAUUCUGGAGCAAGCCCCACAAAUCAUAGAUUGAAUACCCAUUCAUCAAGAGAGAGAUUUAAAGAUACUUCUAUCCAAACACAUUUUAAAUUUCCAGCACCUUUGAGGUGGUGGAGGUUCAUGGUGGUUGAUAGGUUUAAAUGACUUGUGAUUCAAGCUCCAUAUUAUAAUGUAACAGUGCAAAAGUUCAUUUUUUAAAAUUUAUUUUACUUUAAGUUCUGGUAUACAUGUGUAGAACAUGCGGGUUUGUUACAUAGGUAUACAUGUGCCAUGGUGGUUUGCUGCACCUAUCAAACCGUCACCUAGGUUUUAAGAACCACAUGCAUUAGGUAUUUGACCUAAUGUUCUCCCUCAUGUUGCCCCCCACUCCCUGACAGGGCCCAGUGUGUGAUGUUCCCCUCCCUGUGUCCAUGUGUUCUCAUUGUUCAACUCCCACUUAUGAGUGAGAACAUGUGGUGUUUGAUUUUCUGUUCCUGUGUUAGUUUGCUGAGAAUGAUGGCUUCCAGCUUCAUCCAUGUCCCUGCAAAGGACACGAACUCAUUCUUUUUUAUGGCUGCAUAAUAUUCCAUGAGUCUGGAUUUGGUUACAGAUAGAGCUGGACGAGCCUUAGCUAUAUCUAAUGGCUUUUGACAUGUUAUAUCAAUUUCUUACUGCUUUUGUAAAUGAAUAUAUUAAGAAGAAAAAAUUACAAAUGACCCUUUCUUUACAAACUUUUAGGGUAAUCAAGUUCAGUUAUUAAAAAAUGGAUGUUUGCAACAUUCAUAGUAAUUAUUUUCAGAAAAUUAAAAAUGAUUAAAAAUUA
rnacentral:lncRNA from 1 species